UCAUAUAAAUGACAUUGAUUAAUUGGUAAAAUAUCUCUAAUACCUUUGUUUUAAAAUUAAUUAAACAAACAGACAAAAAUCAGAAACGCCUCUCUCUCUCUCUCUCUCUCUCUCUCUCUCUCUCUCUCUCUCUCUCUCUCUCUCUCUCUCUCAUGACUGCAAUUCUUUUUCUAGAUCUCUUCGACACUAGGACUAGGACGCUCUCUGAUUUUGAUCGCCGUCAGCUUCAAUCUCGUCAAAUCUACAGCCUCGUGCUUCUUCUUCUUCACCGCGGCUCCGGGACCACGAUCUCCACCAGCUUCUCCUUCCAUCGUCAUCUCCUCUCGCCUCUAUCCGUCGUCGUUUGCACCUCUUGUCUCAGAUAUCAUCAUCUCCGGCGUGAUUCAUAUCCGGACCACUGCAUUCUCAGAAAUCAAUUCAUCUUCUUCGUCUUGUUCGAGAUUGUGCUUGUCAAUAACGAUCGGCGUUAAAUCUUAGUUCCUUGUUGUUAGUUUCUGUAUCAGAUGCAGUAUCUCCUCCGCCCAGUUCCUUGUUGUUGGUGGAGACGCUCGGCGGUGGAGGCGGGGAUCCGGAGGCGAGUGCGGCGGAGGAGAAGAAGACGGAGAAAGGAGAGAGAGAUCUCGGUGUUGGACAGGGAGAGAGCUGGGGAGAAGAGCUCGGGGUGGGAGACGACUUGGUGGCGUCAAAAGCUCGGUGUUGUGCUUCAGUGCCGUUGAUGAUGCUUACGUGACAGGAUAUAGGGGCAGAUGUAGACGUUGUGGCUGAGCUGGGCGGAGGAGAAGAUGGCGGAGGAAAAGGAAGGGGAGAGAGGAAGAAGAGAAUGGUUGGUGGAUAGGGGUAUUAGUAUUAGUGUCAUAAAAUUUUAAGAACAGUUUCUAAGACCAUCUCCAAUGUAUUUUGCUAUUUUCACCUCUAAAAUAAGGGAACUCUAUAAUAAAGGUGAGAUAUGCUCCAAUGUAUUUCCCUAAAA